CUGACGGAGCAACGCCGCGUGAGUGAUGAAGGCUUUCGGGUCGUAAAACUCUGUUGUUAGGGAAGAACAAGUACGAGAGUAACUGCUUGUACCUUGACGGUACCUAACCAGAAAGCCACGGCUAACUACGUGCCAGCAGCCGCGGUAAUACGUAGGUGGCAAGCGUUAUCCGGAAUUAUUGGGCGUAAAGCGCGCGCAGGCGGUUUCUUAAGUCUGAUGUGAAAGCCCACGGCUCAACCGUGGAGGGUCAUUGGAAACUGGGGAACUUGAGUGCAGAAGAGAAAAGCGGAAUUCCACGUGUAGCGGUGAAAUGCGUAGAGAUGUGGAGGAACACCAGUGGCGAAGGCGGCUUUUUGGUCUGUAACUGACGCUGAGGCGCGAAAGCGUGGGGAGCAAACAGGAUUAGAUACCCUGGUAGUCCACGCCGUAAACGAUGAGUGCUAAGUGUUAGAGGGUUUCCGCCCUUUAGUGCUGCAGCUAACGCAUUAAGCACUCCGCCUGGGGAG
rnacentral:rRNA from 2 species